GACGAACGCUGGCGGCGUGCUUAACACAUGCAAGUCGAACGUGAUUUUUGUGGAAAUUCUUUCGGGAACGGAAAUAAAAUGAAAGUGGCGAACGGGUGAGUAACACGUGAGCAACCUACCUUACACAGGGGGAUAGCCGUUGGAAACGACGAUUAAUACCGCAUGAGACCACAGAAUCGCAUGAUAUAGGGGUCAAAGAUUUAUCGGUGUAAGAAGGGCUCGCGUCUGAUUAGCUAGUUGGAAGGGUAAAGGCCUACCAAGGCGACGAUCAGUAGCCGGUCUGAGAGGAUGAACGGCCACAUUGGAACUGAGACACGGUCCAAACUCCUACGGGAGGCAGCAGUGGGGAAUAUUGCACAAUGGGGGGAACCCUGAUGCAGCGACGCCGCGUGAGCGAAGAAGGUUUUCGAAUCGUAAAGCUCUGUCCUAUGAGAAGAUAAUGACGGUAUCAUAGGAGGAAGCCCCGGCUAAAUACGUGCCAGCAGCCGCGGUAAUACGUAUGGGGCGAGCGUUGUCCGGAAUUAUUGGGCGUAAAGGGUACGUAGGCGGCCUUUUAAGUCAGGUGUGAAAGCGUGAGGCUUAACCUCAUUAAGCACUUGAAACUGGAAGACUUGAGUGAAGGAGAGGAAAGUGGAAUUCCUAGUGUAGCGGUGAAAUGCGUAGAUAUUAGGAGGAAUACCGGUGGCGAAGGCGACUUUCUGGACUUUUACUGACGCUCAGGUACGAAAGCGUGGGGAGCAAACAGGAUAGAUACCGCAGUAGUCCAAGGGCGAAUUCCACAGUGGAAUUCAAGCUUAUCGAUACCGUCGACCUGGGGGGUUUGUCGUUGUUAUCUAUUUUUUUUUCCUUUAGUGGGGUUUAUUAU
rnacentral:rRNA from 1 species